GUGAGACGUGUUAAGUGCAGUGCGAGAGGGAGACGCACUCGUAUGGGAAUUUGCAAGUAUUUUCGAGCAUCCCGUGACAUACAAGGAUAUAUGUAGGCUGGUUUUGAACCGUGCAACUGAGAUCUUUGAAAGGUUGUCACUGCCUUUGUGGUGAUUGAGGAGGUCAUCAUUAUUAUCCCCACUGCCGUAUUUUGGCCGUUUUCUUUUUGACAUUUACAAAAUGUACUAUCGUACAUCUGGGUUGGCGUCUUUUUGUGUUUUUGAAACUUGUAUACGACAGGUUGUGAGUUUCUUUGAUUGGUAAAACCACAUUUUGUGGGUAAAGAAACUGUUUUUUUUUGGUAUUGUUUUUUUUUGUCCAGAGCUGUGUGUUCUAACUACACGUUUCUGGAAUAUCCUUUAAUAUACGAUGUAAUAAUUGAAUAAACCACAAAAGCAAAUUGAACUUGAUAAAUGUGUUCCCAGUGGUAAAUCUAAAUCCCCGGUCACAUAUUUUGGUACCAGGAGUGGGGUGGUUUAUUCAGUCUGAUUCGGUUUCGCCAAGUGAUAGGGGUUAAACAAAAUACGGCAGUGGUGAAUAUUUUUGCAGAGACGGACUACGUCCAGAACUCAGAGAAUCGUAGUUGCAGACAAGGCGGUCAGUGUGGGACUGAUCCUGUGGUCAGUGGGUCGGACGGGACAGAAGAGACCACAAAGAGGACUGUUUCUAUUGGAGCCGCUUUUUCUGGUGACGUGUAGCUCCAAGGAUUCCACUGUCAAAUCCUAGGACUAAAGGCUUUACAACACCGUGUCUGAAGUGGAUCGAGAGAGUUAGAUGGACUUUCUCCCAUGGACAUUGAUCCCGAACUGAGUUAUUGUUCAGCGAUUGUAACUUGAUCUAUUUGUGUAAAGAUGUCAGAUCGUGAUGAAGAAUCUGUGAGGGGGGGAUGUCCCUCUUGGAGCUGUGGGAAACGAUGUUAUGGAACAAAUGAGGGAACAAAUUCAAGAGUUAAGUGAUUGGCGUGAUCAGACCUUGGUCAACAGGGCUGUCAGGGACGGCAACCCAACUCGUUCCUACAUUUAUGUUCCUCGUGAACGCCAAGUGCAACCCUUUAGCGGAGAGUAUAAUAAAGAUGGGCGGUCAGUAGAUGAAUUUAUUGACGAGGUGGAAAGGGUUCUACGGGCCAGAGAACAGACGCAGGAGGAACAGCUAGAUUUUAUCAUUUCACUGUUAAGGGGACCUGCAUUGGAAGAGGUACGUUUAUGUCUGGGAAACCAGUCCAGGCGGGCCAGUGAUUUGUUUAAUUUCCUGCGGGAGGCUUUUGGGGAACGACGUAGCGGUACGCAAUUGUUGCAAAUGUUUUAUAACCGCAAGCAAUUGGACGGAGAAGAUCUUCGGAAUUUUUCCCACUCUCUCUCCCGCCUUUUGAGCUCUGUUGAAAGGAAAACCCCAGGUGGUUUUGUUAAUGAACAAGAGAUUUUGCGCGAUCAGUUUGUGGAAGGCGUGCGAGAUACCCUGGUCCAAGUCUCCUCCCAGGUUUACAGAGGAGGGGGAACCCAUUUGUUUCAGAUGCAAUGGGGUUGGGCAUAUUGCUAGGCAUUGCACAGUGAGACGCGGUGGGAAAACGAAAACUGAUGUUCCAACUACAGACGGUCAAGAAAAAUCCAAACCUUCUGUUGCAUUGAGUAGGGCUGCCCAAGGAUCAGUUUCUGGCCCAGGGGGAACUAGUAGAGACAGGUUGUUCGAACGGGCUGUUGGGACCUGCCCAAUGGUUGAUUUGAAAAUAAAGGGGGUGUCUGUGUCCUUCUUGUUAGAUACCGGUAGCCAGGUCAGCACCAUUGCUGAGAGUUUUUUCCGAGAACAUUCCUUUGUGGACGAGAGCAAUGUGCUGUCUACAUCAAAUUGGUUGAAACUCACAGCGGCCAAUGGGUUAGACAUUCCCUAUGUAGGCUACGUGGAACUAGACGUUGAAGUGAUGGGGACGAUUCUGCCUGAGUGCGGGUUUUUGAUUGUUAAAGAAACCCCUAGUCCAUCGCCUGUGCCAGUUUUGAUUGGAAUGAACAUCAUUAGUAAGUGCAGGAAUCUCGUUUGGGCAGAGUUUGACACCACAUUGAGGGGAAACCUUGAUUCUAACUGGAGGGAGGCUUUCCAGCAAGCCCAGUCCAUUGAGUUUGUUGAACGAGUGUCGGUUGCUAGAAUCGUAGGUUAGACUCCUGCUCAUAUAAAAAACGCCACACAAAGCUUUUUCUCUUAUAUAAAGAUAAAUAAUGUAAUGUAUAAAUAAUGCAACAAUUUACUGUUUUUAGACAUCAAAAUAAUAUACAUUUUAUUUUUACAGUAAUAUACACAGGGGACUUAAGGCAGAACAGCAAACCAACAUCCUGUCACACUCAAAGCCGGUUUGAGUGGGAGGGGAGAUAAAGAGGCCGAAGCGAGCGCAGACACAGAGCGGCCACAGAAACGGAGGAGCGACUGCUGGAAGGCGUUUGUACAAAACGGCGGAAAAAGUGCAGAAAAAGUGCGGUCGUUUAACCCUCUCACCAGGAAAAGUCCCACGGGUGCGACGCCCCUGGAAUUACACCCUUUUCGCAAAGCCACCUGUGUUUACCAUCUUGUAUAGCAUACCGACGCAAUUGUUUUUGCUAGUUCAUACUAUACGAAGAGAUAACAUAUACAACUUUUACAUAAAAUAUUUACAUAUGUUUUCACCAAGAUUAUCAAAUGCUGUAUUGCUGGAAAUUGCUCACUUGUAUUUAAUUUGACAAAGGUAGUUAACUAAUUACAUUUUUAUUAUAAAGGUUGUGUAUAAGUGCAUAAUUAUUUUAUAUAUUUUUGUGGAAAUUGGCACCUGUGGAGAACUUCUUUGUCGUGGUCAGGGGUGUAGCAGCAGACAACAUGGUUCUGACAUCCGUUCAUGUCCCAAGUUAUCAUAUGUUAACUGUGUUAUGAGGGGAGACAUAAAAGGUUUUUCCAUUUGAGAAAGUAUUAAUAUCCUCAUGUUCAAGUUGUUAAAAAUAACACCUAAAGACAUGGUAUGAGCAAUUAAUUUAUUGAAUAUAUAUUUAUUUGUAUUCUCAAACACAUACGAAAUACAAAAAUGUAAAUACAUUGUACAAAAAAGAGCAGCAGUUCCUUCAAGUCCUGAGGUUGUGAAGAGGAACUCUCAUGGAUUGUGACAGGAAAACACCCUGAACUCUUCAUUCCUGAUGAGUGACUCAAAAGUAACAGCUAGAGCCCAGCAAAAGUGCACUAAUAGAUGUCAAACGUAAUGAGCACUCAUAAACUAGACCAUAACAGACAUUCUAAAUUGCUAAAAUCCAUUGAAAUUAGAAAAUGCAGCCUCUUUGUGAAACCCAGUGUAAACUAUGUAAAUUAUCAGCAUCUUUUUGAAGUUCACAAACUGAUGUCUUUUUAAUCUUCUGUUUAGAUCAUUUAAAGAUGUGAUAAGAUUGGUUUACGGCAUCAGAUCCAGAAGAGCUGAGCAUCAUCAGAGACAUCAGACAUCUGUCUUCAGGAAGGCAGGAAUCACAUUUAGUAGUGUACUAAAAACACUGACUGUAUAAAAAACAUAUUUGUCGUAAACAUUGUAGAGGGCGCUCUAUAAUGUGUCAAACUACUUUUCAGGCUGCUAGUGGUAAAACCUCAUCUCAGUUGGGUCUCUGUAAAAGAACACAUAACAAGGGCAAAUGAAUUACAUAUGUUUAUAAAAAGCAUCAAUAACACUCAUAGGGCCUACUUCAUUCAUUAAAGUUACAAUCUUUAACUGAAGAAAGAUAUAAACAGAUCCGUGAGCGAAAUAAUUAUAAUAUCUUGUGAUAUACAGUAGCUUGUGCCAGUAUAAACGUAAAAAAAAUAACUACUAUAGUUGUUUUUGUGACUGACCUUAUGCAUAUGUAUUUUUAGGAAUCUGAUAAGCUGACCUUUAAGGCACAUUUAGAUGCCGUGUGUAAGGAUUCAUCAGAGGAUGUAUUUAAGGAAGUUACGUAGAUUUAAUGUGGAUACUUUUAUUCAAAUGUUUUAUUCUUGUUUUGUUGAAUCUGCCAUAACCUUUUUCAUUAGUGCAUUAAAACAGAAACAGAAGAAACUGUUAAAAGUUUGUGGUAAGAUCGUUUCACUUCCUUAAAUGAUUUGGAGGAUUUAAGUUCAGGGCUUUGAGUAGGUUUAACUAAUUAUUAGCGGCCCUAACCGCCAAAAUAUUUAGAGGUUUCUACCUUCCUCUCAUGAAUAUCAUAAAGAUAAAAUAAAAUGU